rnacentral:rRNA from 1 species
ACUCAAAGGAAUUGACGGGGACCCGCACAAGCGGUGGAGCGUGUGGUUUAAUCCGAUGGUACGCGUAGAACCUUACCAAGGCUUGACAUCUCGGUUUUACCCCAUGGAAACAUGGGGGUCAGUUCGGCUGGGCCGAAGACAGGUGUUGCAUGGCCGUCGUCAGCUCGUGUCGUGAGAUGUAGGGUUAAGUCCCUUAACGAGCGCAACCCUUGUCGCAAGUUGAAUUUAUCUUGCGAGACUGCCCCGGUAACGGGGAUGAAGGAGAGGAUGAUGCCUGGUCGUCAUUGCCCUUACGCCUUGGGCCACACACACGCUACAAUGGCCGGUACAACGGGUUGCUAAGCCGCGAGGUGGAGCUAAUCCCAUCAAAACCGGUCUCAGUUCGGAUUGGAGGCUGAAACUCGCCUCCAUGAAGCCGGAAUCGCUAGUAACCGUAGGUCAGCACACCACGGUGAAUACGUUCCCGGGUCUUGUACACACCGCCCGU